GACAGAGGGUGCAAACGUUGUUCGGAAUUACUGGGCGUAAAGCGCGUGUAGGCGGCCCUGCAAGUCGGAUGUGAAAUCCCACGGCUCAACCGUGGAAGUGCAUUCGAAACUGCAGGGCUAGAGUCCUGGAGAGGAAGGUGGAAUGCUUGGUGUAGAGGUGAAAUUCGUAGAUAUCAAGCGGAACACCGGUGGCGAAGGCGGCCUUCUGGACAGUGACUGACGCUGAGACGCGAAAGCGGUGGGGGAGCAAACAGG
rnacentral:rRNA from 1 species